GCUUAACCGGAGAAGUGCAUCGGAAACUGGAUAACUUGAGUGCAGAAGAGGGUAGUGGAACUCCAUGUGUAGCGGUGGAAUGCGUAGAUAUAUGGAAGAACACCAGUGGCGAAGGCGGCUACCUGGUCUGCAACUGACGCUGAGACUCGAAAGCAUGGGUAGCGAACAGGAUUAGAUACCCUGGUAGUCCAUGCCGUAAACGAUGAGUGCUAGGUGUUGGAGGGUUUCCGCCCUUCAGUGCCGGAGCUAACGCAUUAAGCACUCCGCCUGGGGAGUACGACCGCAAGGUUGAAACUCAAAGGAAUUGACGGGGGCCCGCACAAGCGGUGGAGCAUGUGGUUUAAUUCGAAGCUACGCGAAGAACCUUACCAGGUCUUGACAUCUUGCGCCAACCCUAGAGAUAGGGCGUUUCCUUCGGGAACGCAAUGACAGGUGGUGCAUGGUCGUCGUCAGCUCGUGUCGUGAGAUGUUGGGUUAAGUCCCGCAACGAGCGCAACCCUUGUUACUAGUUGCCAGCAUUAAGUUGGGCACUCUAGUGAGACUGCCGGUGACAAACCGGAGGAAGGUGGGGACGACGUCAGAUCAUCAUGCCCCUUAUGACCUGGGCUACACACGUGCUACAAUGGACGGUACAACG
rnacentral:rRNA from 1 species